GCUUAUGGGUAAGUGAGUCCUCGGUUGUGUUGAUGUCCGUGGGAGAGAGACAGGCUUCAGACUGAGUCAGUGUGUGUUGGUGUGUAGAUGUGAACGCACGGUAAGGAAUUUGGAGGACUGGAGGACUUUUCUCUCCGAAUAAACCUACUUGUUUUUGAGACUUAAUGCGAUAACAAGGACUAAACGGGGAGGACAAAUGCGAAAAUGCGAGAAGAAAUCCAGGAAGAGAGUGUCCGCUUAUUAAAAAUUCAGCGCGGGAGAACAGACAUUAUCGCCCCUUCGGAUGACUUGUGGCAGCACUGAGGAUAAACUACAGGACUAACGGACUCCACACAUUAUUGAAUGGGGUGAAACGACGCUGAAUUUGCUCUAGAAGGUUAGUCCAAAGCAUUUCCAAGCGGCCAAAAACCAAAGGGAAGGGGAGGAAAGGGGGGGCUAAGAAAACGCCCUGCUGCCUGUUGCUGGUAUCACCACGUUCAAACUUUAUCGCCGAGUUGGAAAAUGCAUCUACCACUUAACAAAAGGUGAUAAUUCGAGUGAAACGUCACCUUCAUUAGCUCAUAGCCAGACUGCUUGCUAACUGAGGGCCCGCACACUCACAAGUUUUUGGAAAGCUGGAAGUCUCCGCUUUGGGGAUAUUUUUCUCUUCAUUGUGCACACUGUUCCUGUUGGAGGCGAUUUGGGUGGGCUGAGAGCCCAAGGCUGCUCCGCGAGGCCCACGGCCAUUAGCCAGGAACAAAAGGUUUCACAUGUAAACUCACACAGUUUGGACCACCACUUCAUAUUUUACUAACUUUGAACGACCGACGCUGCAGUCAUGUCGCUCGGCGCCGAGAGGAGGAUGGAAACCCGGCUGAAGAAGCUGGAGGAUAUGAUCAGAGACCCCAGAUCUGCCAUAAACCUGGAAAGUUUGCUGGACUCCAUAAAUGCCCUGGUCUUAGACUUGGACUACCCUGCACUACGCAAGAACAAAAACAUUGAAACCUUCUUAAACAGAUAUGAGAAAGUCAUCGAACAGACUCGAGACCUUCAGAUGAAGUCUGAAGACUUCGACAGAGUUAAAGUCAUUGGUCGAGGGGCAUUCGGUGAAGUCCAGUUGGUCCGGCAUAAAGCCUCUCAGAAGGUCUACGCCAUGAAGCUACUGAGCAAGUUUGAGAUGAUCAAACGCUCAGACUCGGCUUUCUUCUGGGAAGAGAGAGACAUCAUGGCCUUUGCCAACAGUCCCUGGGUCGUACAGUUGUGCUGUGCCUUCCAAGAUGAGCACUACCUCUACAUGGUGAUGGAAUACAUGCCAGGAGGCGACCUGGUCAACCUCACCAGCACCUACGACGUACCGGAGAAAUGGGCCAAGUUCUACACAGCAGAAGUGGUGAUGGCCCUGGACGCCAUUCACUCCAUGGGCUUCAUCCAUCGAGACGUCAAGCCCGACAACAUGCUGCUGGACAGACAUGGACACCUCAAGCUGGCUGACUUCGGCACGUGCAUGAAGAUGGACUCUACUGGCAUGGUGCACUGUGAUACAGCUGUUGGGACCCCGGAUUACAUCUCCCCUGAGGUGCUGAAAUCACAGGGAGGAGAUGGCUAUUAUGGACGAGAGUGUGACUGGUGGUCCGUAGGGGUCUUCAUCUUCGAGAUGCUUGUCGGUGACACACCGUUCUAUGCCGACUCUCUGGUGGGAACCUACAGUAAGAUCAUGGACCAUAAAAACUCUCUCAACUUCCCGGACGAUGUGGAGAUCUCCAAAGAUGCCAAGAAUAUCAUCUGUGCCUUCCUGACUGACAGGGAGGUGCGAUUGGGCAGAAACGGUGUGGAGGAAAUCAAGCGACACCCUUUUUUCAGGAACGACCAGUGGACCUUCGACACCAUCAGAGACACGGUUGCCCCUGUAGUCCCAGAGCUGAGCAGUGACAUAGACACCAGCAAUUUUGAUGAGAUUGAAGAAGAUAAAGGUGAUGUAGAAACUUUCCCCACACCUAAGGCCUUUGUUGGAAAUCAGCUGCCCUUUGUUGGCUUCACUUACUUCAAAGAAGACCAGUUACUGAAUGCUUCCAACAAUAUCUCUGUGACUCACGACAAUUCAAAAGGAGAGUCGGCAGCACUGCAGAAGAAACUGCGCCACCUGGAGGUGCAGCUGAACAAUGAGAAGCAGGUCAAAGAUGAAGUAGAGCACAAAUACAGAGCUGCCUCUAGCCGCCUGGACAAAAUCUCCAAAGAACUUGAGGAAGAGGUGAGCAGCAGAAAGAAUCUGGAGUCGAGUCUGAGGCAGCUAGAGAGAGAGAAAGCCCUGCUUCAGCACAAGAGCCUGGAGAGCCACCGCAAGGCUGAGAGCGAGGCCGACAGGAAGCGCUGCCUGGAGAAUGAAGUCAACAGCCUUCGUGACCAGCUGGAAGACAUGAAGAGAAGAAACCAGAAUUCGCACAUUUCUAAUGAGAAGAACAUUCACCUGCAGAAACAGCUGGAAGAAGCCAACACGUUGCUGCGGGCUGAGUCUGAGGCGGCGGUGCGGCUCCGUAAAACCCAGACGGAGAGCAGCAAGCAGCUCCAGCAGCUGGAGGCCAAUGUGCGUGAGCUGCAGGACAAAUGCUGCCUGUUGGAGCGCAGCAAGCUGAGCCUGGAGAAGGAAUGCAUCAGCCUGCAGGCCGCCUUGGAGACGGAGAGGCGGGAGCACAGCCAGGGCUCGGAGACCAUAAGCGACCUGAUGGGACGCAUCUCCGUCCUGGAGGACGAGGCACGUCAGCAAAGACAGGCUCUGUCCAAAGUAGAGAGUGAGAAGAGACAGCUUCAGGAGAAGCACACCGACCUGGAGAAGGAGAUGAGCAACAAGGAGAUUGAUCUGACCUAUAAGCUGAAGGUGCUGCAGCAGGAGCUGGAGCAGGAGGAGGCCUCUCAUAAGGCCACCAGAGCGCUGCUGGCUGACAAGAGCAAGAUCAAAGUAACCAUUGAGGGUGCCAAAUCAGAGUCGAUGAAGGAGUUGGAGCAGAAGCUGGCGGAGGAGCGAGCAGCCAAACUUCGGUUAGAGAACCGAAUACUGGAGCUGGAGAAGCACAGCAGCAUGAUGGACUGUGACUAUAAACAGGCUCUGCAGAAACUAGAAGAGCUGCGCAGACACAAGGACAGACUAACUGAGGAGAUGAAGAACCUUACGCUGAAGAUCGAGCAGGAGACCCAGAAGCGUAACCUGAUUCAGAACGACCUGAAAGCCCAGAACCAGCAGCUCAGUUCUCUGCGAACCUCUGAGAAGCAGCUGAAGCAGGAAGCGAAUCACCUGCUGGACAUUAAACGCAGCCUGGAAAAGCAGAACCAAGAGCUGCGCAAAGAAAGACAGGACACAGAUGGUCAAAUGAAGGAAUUACAGGACCAGUUAGAAGCUGAACAGUAUUUCUCUACGCUGUAUAAGACCCAGGUUCGCGAACUGAAGGAGGAGUGCGAGGAGAAGAACAAACUCUACAAAGAUAUGCAGCAGGCUCUGCAGGAGCUACAGGAGGAAAGGGAUUCAUUGGCAGCUCAGCUGGAGAUCACACUGACAAAGGCUGACUCUGAGCAGCUGGCCCGCUCCAUCGCUGAGGAGCAGUACUCAGACCUGGAGAAGGAGAAGAUAAUGAAGGAGCUGGAGCUGAAGGAGAUGAUGGCCCGCCACCGUCAGGAGCUAUCCGAGAAAGACAUCACCAUCAGUUCGCUGGAGGAAGCCAACAGGACCCUGACCAGUGAUGUUGCCAACCUAGCCAAUGAGAAGGAGGAGUUGAACAACAAACUGAGGGAUGCUAUAGAUGAAUCAGAAAAGUCAAAGGAUUGGGAGCAGCAGAUCAGCCAGAUGAAGCAGGCAUUUGAGAAACAGCUGCAGUCAGAAAGGACGCUCAAAACUCAGGCUGUCAAUAAACUGGCAGAGAUCCUGAACAGGAAGGAGGUUCGUGGCGGAGGCAGUCGCCGUGGCAACGACACUGACAUGCGGCGGAAGGAGAAGGAGAACAGGAAGCUGCAGUUGGAGCUAAGGUCAGAGAAGGAAAAACUCAACAGCUCCAUCAUCAAAUACCAGAAAGAAAUCAACGAAAUGCAGGCGCAACUGUCAGAGGAGAGCCAGAUGCGUAUAGAGCUGCAGAUGGCUCUGGACAGUAGGGACAGUGACAUCGAGCAGCUCAGGAACCUCCUGCAGUCGCUCAGUGUCCAAUCGCUGGACUCUGCCAGCGUCAACAGUGGACCGGAGUUUGAUACUGAUGAUGCAUACACAGAAACGAGGCUGGAGGGCUGGCUCUCUCUCCCUGUGAGAAACAAUACCAAGAAGUUUGGAUGGGAGAAAAAGUAUGUUGUAGUGAGCAGCAAGAAGAUUCUCUUCUACAACAACGAGCAGGACAAAGAGCAGUCCAUUCCCUACAUGGUGCUUGAUAUAGACAAACUCUUCCACGUGAGGCCUGUCACUCAAACAGAUGUGUACCGUGCCGACGCCAAAGAGAUUCCCAGGAUAUUCCAGAUUCUUUAUGCCAAUGAGGGUGAGAGCAAAAAGGAGCCGGAGUUUCCUGUGGAGCCAUUGGCCAUUGGAGAGAAAUCCAGCUACAUCUGCCACAAAGGCCACGAGUUCAUCCCCACGCUCUACCACUUUCCCACCAACUGCGAGGCCUGCACCAAGCCGCUGUGGAACAUGUUCAAGCCGCCGCCUGCUCUGGAGUGCCGGCGGUGUCACAUCAAGUGCCACAAGGACCACAUGGACAAGAAGGAGGAGAUUAUCGCUCCAUGCAAAGUGAACUAUGAUGUGUCUACGGCAAAGAACAUGCUGCUGCUGGCCACGUCGCAGGAGGAGCAGCAGAAGUGGGUGAGCCGACUGGUAAAGAAGAUUCCCAAGAAGCCCCCGCCACCAGAGCACUUUGCACGCUCCUCGCCACGCGCAUCCAUGAAGGUCCAGCCAAGCCAGUCCAUGAGGAGACCCAGUCGACAGCUCCCCACCAGCAAGAGCAGUGACCUUACGUCCUCUGACCUCAGCCCUCGCAGGUCAAAUGGCUUCAAAAUGAGGCGAGAAGAAUCCCACAGUGGACACUGGUUCAAUUGAUGACUGCUCACACCUUGUUCUCCUUUUACCCAGACGUUUCCCUGUAAACCACUCAUUUACUAAAUUUAACCUUGCUUGGGAGUCUGGUGUGUCGUCAAGUUGGUGGGAUGUUUUUCCCUCCUAAAUCAAAGACUCCAUACAACAAAGCUCCUUGCAGAUCAGCACACUGAACUCCACAUCACAUGUCCGCAACCCACCCUGACAUGCUUCAGCCUGUGAGAGUUACAAAAUUUCUCCCUUUUGUUGAACUUCCUUCCCAGUCAGUAGAAGUGGUAACAGUGAUGUGUGAUCUUUCGACCUAGCUGGAUGGCUUGUAAGCAUAUUCGUCCAAGUCUUCUCCUGGGCCCUUGACUCGAGCAGUUACGAGUCCCUGGGGAGCUGGAUUAGCUCGUUGAGCUCCCACAGAACAGAAGUGAGCUCUUAUAAGCCCAACAAGGGCAGGCAAGAAGGGGAUACACUUACCUCAACACUUCUCACCAGGACACACUGUCUGAAGGACCUAACAGGAAAACUCUACUGUCCCUCACCACCUUUGGGGAUUGUUGUGGCCAAAUAAAAAGACAUUCUUGUAUUUAAUGAUUGUGAACAAUAUGAAGGGUUUAAUGGGGAACACUACACUCAGAAGAUAGUCAUUUCUGUAAUUUUUUUGGGUUGAGGUUGUUGAACUUGAUCUCAGAUACAGUAUUUGGACUGGGCUGAUUCCAACUCUUUAACAUAUUGAUUGUAGCUUCUUGCUUUCCACGAUUCUGCUUUCAGAUGUGCGCCCAUACAGGUCAGAGAAACUUGAAUGAGGUACUUAAGUAAAUGAAGUUUGACUUCAGAGAAAGUCAGGUGGGGCAGGAGUGUCAGAUUCCUCCAGGAUGUGAGCAAAUCAUUUCUUGAGUGCCUCAAAUUCAAAUUUCUUACUCGGGCACACUCUGAAUCACCGGUUUGUCGUUGUGUGACUACAGUAACGGUUUUAAGUGAACUCAAUCCCGCUCUGAAUGGCAUGAGAUGGAGGCCCAGAUGUAAGAUCUUCACAAUCUUUCAAACCUGCACUGUCAUGUUAUGAGGGUUAAUGUUUACUUAAUUCAAGGGGUGCACCAUGAAUGCUUUUCUGAUCCGAGCUCAGCUCCGUUUCUUGUUUGAAUGUAUAUCUGGACUCUACCAGAGACGACACGAAGGCAUUGUAUUACUUCUAUCCAAAUAUACUUGACUGAAGCCCCCUUUCAUCACCAACUGCUCUGAGUGAACUUGCAUGUGUUUGCCUUUUCAGGCCUCACAAUUAAGUGCUGUCACCCACAGGCCUCCACCUAUUAGAAAUGUAUAUUUUUAUCAUAUCCUGAUCAUGAAAAUGAGGGCAAUUGACCAAUGAGAAGCAGAAACAAUGAAGGUAUGCAAUCAUAUCUCAUGAGUCAGAAUACUGAGCAGCACUAUUCCAUUGAAAGUUUUUCUAAAAGUGUUUGUCCUGAUAUUUUUGUAUUAAAAGUAACCAGACUGA